UACGUAGGGGGCAAGCGUUGUCCGGAUUCAUUGGGCGUAAAGAGCGUGUAGGCGGCCAGGUAGGUCGGUUGUGAAAACUGGAGGCUCAACCUUCAGAGGUCGACCGAAACCAUCUGGCUAGAGUCCGGGAGAGGAGAGUGGAAUUCCUGGUGUAGCGGUGAAAUGCGUAGAGAUCUGGAGGAACACCGAUGGCGAAGGCAGCCUCCUGGGCCAGCACUGACGCUCAUGCACGAAAGCGUGGGGAGCAAACAGG
rnacentral:rRNA from 1 species